GUUCUUUCCAUCUAGUUGCCAGAUCGGUGCGUAACAUUUUCGCAUCGGCGAUUUUUUGUUCAAGAUUGGACCGGAUUCCAUGAAGGAAGACGAUGAGAUUCAGUCCUAUCCGUCGCCGGGAAGUGGAUCUCCGGCUUCGCCGAUUUCCAACGGCCGGAUUACGGUGACGGUUGCGGCGGCGCCUCCUCCUCCGCCUUCUUCUCAGAACAUGAUAACCUUGGCUCUGCCGAAUCAGCAGUCCA
rnacentral:misc_RNA from 1 species